UACGUAGGGUGCAAGCAUUAUCCGGAGUGACUGGGCGUAAAGAGUUGCGUAGGUGGUUAUGUAAGCGAAUAGUGAAAUGUGGCGGCUCAACCGUACACACUAUUAUUCGAACUGCAUAACUCGAGAAUGGUAGAGGUAACUGGAAUUUCUUGUGUAGGAGUGAAAUCCGUAGAUAUAAGAAGGAACACCAAUGGCGUAGGCAGGUUACUGGACCAUUUCUGACACUAAGGCACGAAAGCGUGGGGAGCGAACCGG
rnacentral:rRNA from 1 species